rfam:Ovis aries breed Texel chromosome 10, whole genome shotgun sequence.
UCCCAGGUGGUUCAGUGGUAAAGAAUCUGCCUGCCAAGGCAGAAGACACAGGUUCAAGCCCUGGAUUGGGAA